rnacentral:rRNA from 1 species
AUUGAACGCUGGCGGCAGGCCUAACACAUGCAAGUCGAACGAGUGGCGGACGGGUGAGCAAUGUCUGGGACACUGCCCGACGGAGGGGGAUACCUACUGGAACCGGUUGCUAAUACCGCAUACCAUCGGAUGUGCCCCGAUGGGACUAGCUAGUAGGUGGGGUAACGGCUCACCUUGGCGACGAUCCCUAGCUGGUCUGAGAGGAUGACCAGCCACACGGGGACUGAGACACGGUCCAGACUCCUACGGGAGGCAGCAGUGGGGAAUAUUGCACAAUGGGCGCAAGCCUGAUGCAGCCAUGCCGCGUGUAUGAAGAAGGCCUUCGGGUUGUAAAGUACUUUCAGCAAGGAGGCGUUACUCGCAGAAGAAGCAUCGGCUAACUCCGUGCCAGCAGCCGCGGUAAUAC